rnacentral:rRNA from 1 species
UACGAAGGGGGCUAGCGUUGCUCGGAAUCACUGGGCGUAAAGGGUGUGCAGGCGGGCUGUUAAGUGGUGUAUGAAAUAUCCCGGCUCAACCGGGAAGGGUUAUGCCAGACUGGCAGUCUAGAGAGCGAGAGAGGGACGUGGAAUUCCGGGUGUAGUGGUGAAAUGCGUAGAGAUCCGGAGGAACCCCAGAGGCGAAGGCGGCGUCCUGGCUCGCAUCUGACGCUCAGACACGACAGCAUGGGGAGCGAACGGG